GCCGACGUAGCUCAGUUGGUAGAGCGCAAGCCUCUUAAUAUAUGAGGUUUCCCGAUGAAUAUCGGGUCCGAAAAAAUAAAUCCGAGCGAAGCGGGGAGUUCGCGCUCCCAAUCGCAUUCUCAGGUUUCGCGUAGCGAAAGCUUGUGGUCCAGGGUUCGAGCCCCUGCGCCGGUA
rnacentral:tRNA from 1 species